rnacentral:rRNA from 1 species
AGAUUAAACUGAAGAGUUUGAUCCUGGCUCAGAUUGAACGCUAGCGGGAUGCCUUACACAUGCAAGUCGAACGGCAGCACGGACUUCGGUCUGGUGGCGAGUGGCGAACGGGUGAGUAAUGUAUCGGAACGUGCCCAGUAGCGGGGGAUAACUACGCGAAAGCGUAGCUAAUACCGCAUACGCCCUACGGGGGAAAGCAGGGGAUCGUAAGACCUUGCACUAUUGGAGCGGCCGAUAUCGGAUUAGCUAGUUGGUGGGGUAACGGCUCACCAAGGCGACGAUCCGUAGCUGGUUUGAGAGGACGACCAGCCACACUGGGACUGAGA